GCCGGGAUACCCUAGCCUGGUAGGGGGCAGUUUCGUCGAGCCUGUGGCCUGCGAAGGCCUCGAGGGUUCAAAUCCCUCUCCCGGCGCCA
rnacentral:tRNA from 1 species